rnacentral:misc_RNA from 1 species
UUACCAUUGCUCAGUAAUAAACAAAUUUAAAUACAUUUCAUGGUAGAUGACACAAGCAAAGCAGCAGAAACAAAGGCAAAAAAUGGAAAAAUAGUUUCAAAUUCCUACACAUUCUCCAACUAAAGAAAGAAUCGUUUGUAGGUCUACAUAUCUGGAAAACUAGCCUCAAAUAAAAAUCUCGUCGUGUGCUUAAUUGUACAGAAGAUUUAUGGAAAUCAGUCAUCUCUUUCCAUUUUCUUAGAGAGUUUCCUUCCAGAACCGGACUGACCUAUCAGUCCCACACGAAAUAAAGGCUGCCUCUAUUGGUGAGUGCUCGAUCCAACGGGGUGUACCAUUGUGGUUGGAUGGCCACUUUGCCACUUUCUCUGCCGUUAGAGCAUCCCAGAUAACAAUCUCAUUGCUUUGUUCAUCUAUGGAUAGCACAAAUUCUUCAGUGUCAUUGAAAACAGCCUGCAGAGAGUAGCUUAAAGCAUUCAAUAUUUGGGUAAGUCCAUAAAAAUCUUAACAAUUUUGUAACUUUCUACUUUAAAAAAUCUAGCAUCUAAUUAUUCAUAUACUAUCCUAGUAAAUAACAUUUGGAGAAAAAAGCCAAAAAAAAAAAAUAUUAUCAGCACACAGCCAAUGUUAAAUAGUUUGAAACUGUGCCCUUCACUAAUGUGGAUUUUCUGUUGAUCAAAAGAAAAUAAAUAAAUUCCAUGGAUGUUUAAAUCCAAAUUCCAGAAAAACGUUUUCCUACUUCCUAGCAUACCUGGCACCUCAAUUGUGCAUGUGUAGCCCCAAGAUAUUGCUUGACCAAUCUUCCACUGCCAACCUCCCAAAGCUUAACAGAAGAGUCUUUCCCACAGGAAAGCACAAACCUAAAAUGUAGAACUUUCAGUCAUGUUGCGAACCGAUGUUAAGGAACAUCCCAAGGGGGAAAGCAACUUCCAAAGUUGUAGUAUCUUACAUGAGCACCAAUGAGAGACAACAAAAAACAAUUAAUUGACAGAGAAGAAAAGAAAAUUUUCUAAAUUUUUAUAAAACCUCCCGCUUUCACAUUUAUCAUUGCAAUUAAUUAUAAUUGCAUACCAAAGACUACUUUAUUAUUGUUGAAAUUAAGUAGUAAUAAUUCUCACUUCAACAAUUGCAUCCAAAUGGAAGUUUUUAUCUUCUUUUCCCCCUUAAGAUUUCCCAUUUGAUAUGCACUAUUUGUUGUAAAUUGUCCAUGGAAAGGACUGCAAGUCCUUCAGAACACUAAGAAACGAAAAUUCCACAUGCACAUCCAGGGAUAUAUCUUGUGGCAUCUGUACCGUUGAUCCUUUGUAAAAGUCACACUGGUGGCUUCUGCUGUUCCAUGUGCACCAACAAUGGACCGCACACAAUUGGCUGUUACCCCAUCCCACAACCGAAUAGCACCAUCUUUAGAUGCUGUGACAUACAUUCCACCUGUAGAUGAAUACCUCACCUGUACAACCAAGUUGUUAUAAUUACGUUAAUGCCUCUGAAUUCAUCUAUUACAUGUGGAUAUUAGAUCAAAUAAAGUAUUGACCAUGCCUGAUUAAUGGCUCCAUUAAUUCCGAUUUCUGGGGCAUUAGCAGAUAGAUAACACUGAAAUGUAUUGACAUCAUACAAGUGUGCAAUUUGAUGAUCAGUUCCUGUUAUUUUUUUGGUCCAAGUCAAACUUUGUUAAUAAGCCAAUCACAUUAAGAGCGAUGCAUUAUAGAUAUUCUGGCAAGCAUGUUAAACUUCAUUGGCCAACUCUUUAACGAAAAUCAGGAAAAGGGAAAGAUAUUUUUACUUGUUAAGAGUUAAAAUGAACAGACAAAAGAUAACUUUCUACCAUCAUAAUCCAUAUAGUAAAUUCUCCUAAGUUCCCUCUGAUCUUAAAUUCUUAAAUUCUUGUUCCAAGUUCAAUUUGUAAAGUUAUUAGAAAAAAUAGAGAGCAGAGAAAUAUUAAUGAAACUCUGCAAAGGGUCUAGAUAGAUAAAACUUACAAGACAAUAUAUAUAUAUUGACAAAGUCCCUCGAUAAAAUUUAAACACACUUUGCUGAACUUAAUUUUUGAUAACCAAACAUCAACUCUAUUACUUAACAUUCAGAUGAAACAGAAAACAAAUUGUUGCAUCCUAAUCAAAUGUGUCUGAAAAAUGACAUAUAUAGGAACAAUUACCGGCAAGAAGGAAAUCCCCAGAAGGAUGAAAGGACACAGAACGCACAUUGUGAGUAUCCUGUGUCAUUACACAUACAGAUUUUCAGUAAUACAUCAGUUUGGUCUUGUGAAAUGAAUUCCACCAGAAAACUCAAGAACCUUCUCAGACUAGUAACAAAAUGAAGACAAAAAACCUGGAUAACUCUAAAUGCUCUCUUUGCAGUAGCUUUGGAAAAGUCAAAGAAUUUUAUAGUGUGAUCCUUGGCUCCUGAUAUAAGAAUAGUACUUUGAGGAUGGAAGUCCAAAUCAUUUAUAGGUUGUAUGUGGUCAUAAAAUGUCCGUAUGACAGGUCUGACAGGACCAUCCCUUGUAUCUGAAAGCAACAUUUGCUUGAUUUUUGAAAUCUCAAAGAGCUUAAUUGAUGUGUCUGCACUUCCAGUGGCAACAAACCUCCCAUCAGGACUAAAUCUUGCACAUCUGGCAAUAUUCUAGAAAAUAUAAAUGUCAGUCUAUAAAUCAUAAGACUUGAAUUAUUCUCAGCCACAAUAGCGUGUGCCAGAGAAGAUACACAAUUUCUUUUUCCUCUGUUCAUACCUUAUGUUCAGAAAGAUGCCGUGUCUCAUGCUUUGGAAAAUUUUUUGAUAAGCCUUUUGUAUCUUGUAUGGCACUGAAAUCAACGGAAGCAGCACGGGGAGCUGGGAUUGAUCCAUAUGCCGCAGGAAUCAAUGUGCCCAGAUCAUAUAUGGCAGAAGAAGGAACCCCUCUUAACGCAUCAUCUUUUUCCGCUGCAAGACCCUUAGCAACGAGCUCAAGAAGUUUAUUAGGAGGAGCCUCAACAUUCAAUGGUGUCAUGGUGGCUGAUGCAACUGCACUUGCAGCCUGGGUGAGAUUAUUAUCGCGAAGAUGAGCAACGAUGAGGGAAUUGAGCUGUCGAUGGAGCUUCCCAUCUAGCAGUGUCUGCUCCAAGCUACUGUUUUCCAUUUGCUUUUCCUUUUUCUUUUGAUUUUCCCCCUUCUGUUUUCUUUCCUGUUCUUUCCCAGUUUCAC